rnacentral:rRNA from 1 species
GCACGGGUGAGUAACACGUGACUAACCUACCUUCGAGUGGGGAAUAACCUGGGGAAACCCGGGCUAAUACCGCAUAAUACCUACGGGUCAAAGGAGUAAUCCGCUUGAGGAGGGGGUCGCGGUGAUUAGCUAGUUGGCGGGGUAACGGCCACCAAGGCGAAAUCGGUAGCCGGCUGAGAGGGCGCACGGCCACACUGGAACUGAAACACGGUCCAGACUCCUACGGGAGGCAGCAGUGGGGAAUUUUGCGCAAUGGGGGAAACCCUGACGCAGCAACGCCGCGUGGAGGAUGAAGCCCCUUGGGGCGUAAACUCCUUUCGACCAAGACGAUUAUGACGGUACUGGUGGAAGAAGCACCGGCUAACUCUGUGCCAGCAGCCGCGGUAAUACAGAGGGUGCAAGCGUUGUUCGGAAUUAUUGGGGCGUAAAGGGCGCGUAGGCGGCGCGGUAAGUCACCUGUGAAAUCUCCAAGCUUAACUUGGAGCCUGCAGGCGAAACUGCCGUGCUGGAGUAUGGGAGAGGUGCGUGGAAUUCCCGGUGUAGCGGUGAAAUGCGUAGAUUCGGGAGGAACCCCUGU